UACGGGGGGAGCAAGCGUUGUUCGGAUUUACUGGGCGUAAAGGGCGCGUAGGCGGUCGUGACAAGUCACUUGUGAAAUCUCCGGGCUUAACUCGGAACGGUCAAGUGAUACUGUCGGACUAGAGUACAGGAGGGGCAACUGGAAUUCUCGGUGUAGCGGUGAAAUGCGUAGAUAUCGAGAGGAACACCUGCGGCGAAGGCGGGUUGCUGGGCUGAUACUGACGCUGAGGCGCGAAAGCCAGGGGAGCGAACGGG
rnacentral:rRNA from 1 species